CUUCUAUGAUGACAGCUCACUAGGCAGGCAGCGUGGAUCUAUGUUCCAGUCUCCUCUUGCAGAUCAGAUACCACCUCUGAGAUCCUUCUCUGCUCCUCACUGACCAAACUCAAGGAACAGAUCUUCCCUGCCCAGGUCUCCAGGACCCCAACCUACCCACUUCUAGGAGAGAAUUCACACAGGUCUUGAGGAAUAGAGACUACAAACAAAUCAAGUCUUCUGUGGGAAUGCUGGGCCAUGGGCUUUGGAAUCACCACCAGUGAUGGAACCCGAAGUAAGCUACUAAACCUCGACAGGCUCAUUCAUGAAUCACCACCAGUGAUGGAACCCCAGGUGGUCCUGAAAGGAGGAGGUGCUUUGCUUCUCUUUUUCGCAGAUGUCAAUUAUGGAUCAACUUCUGAGUCACAUAGAAGAGCACCAUCAAUUGGCCAUUUCUCACCUGAUCACUGAGGAUAUAAAGUGCUUUUCCAGACUCCAGGACUCGGUUCAUUGCUAGUAUCAGGACGCCUCUCAUGUAUGGGAAGCCAGAAACAUCCCAGGAGCCUCACUGACUGCUUGGGCACAGCCCUCUGAGCAGACCUAUGAAGAAACAGAAGGAUUUGUGCCUUUUAGGUAUCUC
rnacentral:lncRNA from 1 species